rnacentral:misc_RNA from 1 species
GAAGAAGAAGAAGAAGAAGAAACGAGCCAUGAACAAAGCUGCCAUCCGUGUUCUGGCUCUGAAAAGGAUUUGAGUUCUUACAAGGAGAGGAUUAAUAAAGUUCUAAAAGCUAAUGGCUUUGAAGGUAAGAGACCUUCAAAACUGCCUAAUGAGGAGUUACUGAAUUUGCUUUCUUUGCUUAAUCAGGCUGGAAUAUAUUUUCAUGGCCGAACAAGGCCAGGGAAUGCUGAAAAUGAAGCACUUCCUGCUGCUGUAACGGGAGAAUUUUAAAGUUGAGAUUUUGUUAUCCAACUUAAUUUUUUUAAAUGAUAUGAGAUUUUAAUUUAAACUAACUAUUGUGUUUGGGGAAAUGUAUAUGGCUGGAGCCUGUUUUGAUUUCAUUUACCAGUAUAAUAUCAAAUCCAAGCAUCUGUAUGUUAAUAGAGUUGGUCAUGGCUCAACAUGACCAAUGUCAUGAGUAUUCUCUUUGGAUUAUAAAAUUUUAGUGUCAAUUCUCUUUGAGGGUCCUAAUAGUUUGUGUCCAGUGGUCUGAGUGUCAAUAUUUUCAAUGGCGUCAAGUCUAGUGGUUGAGAUGGUAAUUUCUGAUGCAAAGGAUACAUCUGCUAACUUGGGCUUUAUACUACUUCUCACAAUUUGCUUUCCUUUAUGAAGUUUCAUGCAAAAUGAUGGUUGUAAUAUAUAGUGCAAAUGGAGGACUUUGAAUGCUAACAUUUUGUCAUAUAUUGUCCUACGACCACUCUCUUUCUAAUUUGCAAGUGGUAAUCAUGUUCAAUAUUUUUUAAGUUAAACUUAUUGAUUAAUGUUAAUUCUCUAUUGAAGAAGUAGAAUGACAGUAUUAAAGCUUUGUCAAGGAUCUUUUAAAUAUCUGUCUAAGUGACCAUUAUAUGUUCCAAAACUGAAAGAGAUGUAGAAACUUGUGUUAAUCUUCAGUUCGCAUGACAGAUGACAACAUGUUAUUCAAAUUAUCUUGUUGGAGACCCAAACAAAUGAGUUGCUGAUUAAGUCCUUAUCUUCAUCAUUGUCUUCACAAUUCUGAUCUAUCGUUCUUUUAAGGCUGACACACCACACAGUGAAGAAAACAGAUUUCUUAUUCCCCUUUUUUUGGCCUGUAUAUUGAAAAUUUUAAUUUUCCUUUUUGGGGGAAGUUUUUGAACUAUAAAGAUGUGAUUUGAAUUGAUCUUCGUGAUGCAUUUUUUGUGUUGAACAUAAAAUUGAAAGUGGGUAUCAUUAUUGUUUAGCUUUAUAUAAAUUAAGUUCAAGCCUUAGCUAAAGUUAGGUUGCUCCUUUGUGACUUAAAUGUCACAAGUUUGAGUCAAUGUAACAGUCUUUCUGCUAAAAAGCAGAGAGAUGCCAUGUACAAUAGAUGACUCUCCCUAACCCUCACAACACGGAAAGUCCUGUGGGGACACCCAUAACCCAUUAUUAUAAGUAUGUUUUUCUAUUUACCAAUCAUUUAAGAACGCAUGAACAAGUCCAAGAAAAAUUAUUUAACCAAUGUGUUUACCAUACUAGGAACUAAUAUUUAGUGUCAUAAGAUGUCAGUUAGAGGCUUGGAAUUUCCAUUAGGAGGUCUGAAGUUUGAAUGCCGCUAAGUGAGAUUGGGAUUUUUUUUUU